rnacentral:rRNA from 1 species
AUGAACGCUGGCGGCGUGCCUAAUACAUGCAAGUCGCGCGAACGGACGAGAAGCUUGCUUUUCUGAUGUUAGCGGCGGACGGGUGAGUAACACGUGGAUAACCUACCUAUAAGACUGGGAUAACUUCGGGAAACCGGAGCUAAUACCGGAUAAUAUUUUGAACCGCAUGGUUCAAAAGCGAAAGACGGUCUUGCUGUCACUUAUAGAUGGAUCCGCGCUGCAUUAGCUAGUUGGUAAGGUAACGGCUUACCAAGGCAACGAUGCAUAGCCGACCUGAGAGGGUGAUCGGCCACACUGGAACUGAGACACGGUCCAGACUCCUAUGGGAGGCAGCAGUAGGGAAUCUUCCGCAAUGGGCGAAAGCCUGACGGAGCAACGCCGCGUGAGUGAUGAAGGUCUUCGGAUCGUAAAACUCUGUUAUUAGGGAAGAACAUAUGUGUAAGUAACUGUGCACAUCUUGACGGUACCUAAUCAGAAAGCCACGGCUAACUACGUG